CUACGGGGGGCUGCAGUGAGGAAUUUUGCGCAAUGGGCGAAAGCCUGACGCAGCAACGCCGCGUGAGUGAUGAAGGCCUUCGGGUCGUAAAGCUCUGUCAAGUGGGAAGAACCUAUGUAAUGUUAAUAUCAUUAUAUACUGACGGUACCACUGAAGGAAGCACCGGCUAACUCCGUGCCAGCAGCCGCGGUAAUACGGGGGGUGCAAGCGUUAUUCGGAAUCAUUGGGCGUAAAGGGCACGUAGGCGGCCUGGUAAGUCAGAUGUGAAAGCCCGGGGCUUAACCCCGGAAGUGCAUUUGAUACUGUCAGGCUUGAGUAUGGGAGAGGGAAGUGGCAUUCCUGGUGUAGAGGUGAAAUUCGUAGAUAUCAGGAGGAACACCGGUGGCGAAGGCGACUUCCUGGACCAAUACUGACGCUGAGGUGCGAAGGCGUGGGUAGCAAACAGGAUCAGAUACCCUAGUACUC
rnacentral:rRNA from 1 species